CCCGAUUCCGUGCCGCCCAGCCCAUUUUAUAUCCCUUCCUCUCCUGCACCUUCAUCCGCCCUCUCCUUCUUUACCAUUUGAUCUCCUCGAAACACUCAUCUCCAUACUUUCUUGUCUCUUUGAAGGCCCAAUGUAAUAUACCGAAACUUCGAUAAGCAAAUAUCGAACUUUAGUCAAAAUGACCAAAGUGCGAGGUUAGGACGCUUCGGAAAGGCCGAAGGCGUUAAAAAGAGCAAAAGUGCGUUAUAUGGGAUCUUCGAGAGCUAAAGAAUCAAA
rnacentral:lncRNA from 1 species